rnacentral:misc_RNA from 1 species
GGUUAGAACAAUUACGGGGGAUUUAAUGCCUAAGUUGGUUUUCGCUUCCCUCAUUUAGCCCUUUGGCUUAUUACAGAGAAUCAAUGGCAAUUUUGUUAUCUGCAGGUGCUGCAACCAAGCUAAGCUCCAAGCUUCUCAACUAUAAUGGUAGCAUACAAGAAGUGUCAUCAACUGCUCGCACUAAUUUCACAGGUAAAUCUCUGUUUUCCUUUCAGUUCACUGAAGCCUUUUCUCUUCUUUUGGUAUCUAAGCUAAGACCCAGUUUCAAAAAGAUGUUAUUUUUAUCUUCAGGCUUGAGCACAGAGACCAAGACACUCUACAAGAGAUAUUCAUUUGUUAAUUUAGCUGUUAGGAAUCAUACAAGUGUUGAAUUAAAACAGGGAAAUCAUGCUAAAUUAGCGCCAAGGAAAGGGGGUAGGGACCUAGUUUUAAGCGAGGGAAGAGAAGAUGAUGACAACUAUGGGCCUAUUUGCCCUGGUUGUGGGAUCUUCAUGCAAGAUAAAGACCCAAACCUUCCUGGGUAUUAUCAGAAAAGAAAAGUUACCAUUGAAGAAAUUGAAGUAGCAGAGGAUGAGGAAGAGGAAAUUAAAGAUGACUUUGUAGGGUUUGAGGAAGAAGAGUCUGAGAAUAGAAUUGAAGGUAAAGUUGAGGAAAGUGAAGGGGAUAUGGAUAAUUUGGAAGAGGGUGAAGAGUUGGAUUGGGAUUCUGAUGAAUUUGAAGCAAUGUUAGAAAAAGAAGAUGAUGUUUUGGAUUUGGAUGGUUUCACUCCUGCAGGUGUUGGGUAUGGUAACAUCACUGAGGAGAUAAUAGAGAAAGAAAGGAAGAAAAAGGAAAAAAGGAAGGUGUCAAAAGCAGAGAAGAAGAGGAUGGCAAGGGAGGCCAAAAAGGACAAGGAUGAGGUUACAGUGUGUGCUCGAUGUCACUCUUUGAGGAAUUAUGGGCAGGUUAAGAACCAAACAGCUGAAAAUUUGAUACCUGACUUUGAUUUUGAUAGAUUGAUUACAAAUAGGUUGAUAAAAUCAAGUGGUAGUGGCAACGCUACUGUUGUUAUCAUGGUUGUUGAUUGUAUUGAUUUUGAUGGCUCAUUUCCUAGACGGACGGCAAUGUCCUUGUUCAAUACAUUUGAAGGAGCCAAAAAUGACCCUAAAGCUAGCAAAAAGUUGCCUAAGCUCGUUCUUGCAGCUACAAAGGUUGAUCUUCUCCCAUCACAAAUUUCACCUACUAGAUUAGAUAGAUGGGUUAGGCACCGCGCUAGGGCAGGAGGGGCACCUAAGCUAAGUGGAGUUUAUUUGGUUAGUGCUCAUAAGGAUUUGGGUGUGAGGAAUUUGUUGUCAUUUGUCAAGGAAUUGACUGGUCCUCGAGGGAAUGUAUGGGUUAUUGGGUCUCAAAAUGCAGGCAAGUCCACUCUAAUCAAUGCAUUUGCAAAGAAAGGAGGGGCCAAAAUAACAAAGCUCACAGAAGCUCCAGUUCCUGGAACAACACUUGGGAUUCUGAGAAUUGGAGGGAUUUUGUCUGCCAAGGCAAAGAUGUAUGACACUCCUGGGCUUCUGCAUCCAUAUCUAAUGUCCAUGAGAUUGAAUAGAGAUGAGCAAAAAAUGGUUGAAAUAAGGAAGGAGCUACAACCUCGAACAUACAGGAUGAAGGUUGGACAGGCUGUACAUGUUGGUGGCUUGCUGCGACUAGACCUUAAUCAAGCUUCUGUAGAAACAAUUUAUGUCACAGUUUGGGCAUCACCAAGUGUUUCUCUGCACUUGGGGAAGAUAGAAAAUGCUGAUGAUUUCUGGGGAAACCAUGUUGGGGUUCGAUUACAGCCUCCAGUGGGCAAAGAAAGAGCUACUGAGUUGGGCAAAUGGGAAGGGAGAGAAAUCAAAGUGGCUGGAGCGAGCUGGGAUGUGAAUAGCAUUGAUAUUGCAGUAGCUGGCUUAGGUUGGUUUUCUUUGGGUCUCAAAGGUGAAGCAACUGCAACACUGUGGACAUAUGAUGGUAUUGAGAUCACUUUGAGAGAACCUUUGGUUCUUGACCGAGCACAAUUCCUUGAGAGACCUGGAUUCUGGCUACCAAAGGCUAUAUCUGAUGCUAUUGGCAACCAAUCUAAACUUGAAUCCCAAAAAAGGAAAAUGCUUCAAUAGAAGAGUGUGGAAUCUAUUUCAGAGUUGUCUGCUUGAUGGGAAAAUAAGAGGGGUUGGAUAUCUGGUUGAAAGAGAAAGGAGAGGAUGAGUCUUAAUUGUUUCUCUUUGAAAGUGCCCUUGCUUGAAGAGGAAAGAGAUCAGUCUCUCUCGUUUCCUCUAUGCAACUUGGUUGAGCUCAAAGCUGUUAAUAACAGCUUACAUAAAAAACAUAGGUUCAGAUAUUAUCUGAAGGACAAGACACUGUUAGCUCAGUUCCAAUUUGAGUAAUUAUAGAGCAUCUGACGUUUGUUUCAUGGGACUAAUUCUGCGAAGAAUAUGAAUUAUAGGUAGUUUAUUUGAACUUGGUAGAAGAAAUUUUAGGGGAGGCUGGGGGUGUGAAACUUGCCAAUUGGAUCACGUGUUUAGUUUACAGUGAGUUGAUUUUGCCUGUCAUGCCAGGUAAACGCAAUCAGUAGAUAAUUUUCAUCAUUUUUUAAUAUUUGAAAGAUGCUUAAAAGGAUGAUUAACUUUUGUCUUUUGCAAUGCCAGUUAUCAUUAGUCAGGUAUCGGCAUCUAACCAUCUUUGUCAAGUUAAGCCACUUUCCAAUUCCAGUUGCAGGUUUGACUACCAAAUGGGUAAAAUGAUAGCUAUUACUACUUGCAACACCAGUUUUCUCCAUCCCCUUCUUUAAUAUCCGAAAUUGAUCUGGGAUUUAAAGAAUUUGAUGCGUUGUCUUUAGUGUAACUAUAAGCCAAUCAUAGAAGUUGAUGAUGCUUAACUGGUCAGUACUUACACCUCCCAGAAUUCCUUCAUGUGAAUUCUGGUAAUUCGUCUCUUUUUUUUUUUUUU